AUUUGCAAGUAUUGUCUCCUAUUCUGUGCACUCUCUUUUCACUUUCUUGAUAGUGUCCUUUGAAGCACAAAAACGUUUAAUUUUGAUGAAGUUCCAUUUAUUCCUUUUUUCUUUUGUUGCUUGUGCUUUUUGUAGAAACCAUUGCCAAAUACAAGAUCAUGAAAAUUUACCCCUAUGUUUUUGAUCCAUAAAGUUCUUUUGACUUUUAAAAUUCUAUAAGAUAAGUCAAUACUGGUCGCCUAUUACACACAAAGAACUAUUGGGAUUUCAGGGGAAACUGGAUAUUGGAGACUCAAGCAUCAGAAUGGAUAAGGCAUCAUUUUAGUGUUAGAAUCAGAUCCCAAGAUGGAAACUUCAGAAAUGCCAGGAUGUGCAGGAUGUGAUUGAGUUAUAUGUAGACAAAGAGAUUUGGGAUAGAAGUGUUUAAAUAUAGAGUCCAAGGUAACUUAACAGACCUCUAAUUAAAACAAUGAAAGCAAAAUUCCGAAAUACAUAAAGGCAAAUAAUAAGCUCUGAAGAAAACUGGAAAAAGUCUGACAAAUUCCAAGCCUUGCUUGAACUAAAGAACACAAUGCUAUUUGUGUAGAGGGAAAAUGUUAACAAAUGCUACAUAAAGUUGUGGCCUGAAUAUAGAAA
rnacentral:lncRNA from 1 species